GUGUCUGUCCGCAGCUGGCAAGCGAAUGUAAAGACCAGACUAAGCAUGUAGUACCGAAGGUGUAGAAAUUUCGGACGCGGGUUCAACUCCCGCCAGCUCCACCA
rnacentral:tRNA from 1 species